rnacentral:rRNA from 1 species
UACGGAGGGAGCUAGCGUUGUUCGGAAUUACUGGGCGUAAAGCGCACGUAGGCGGCUUUUUAAGUCAGGGGUGAAAUCCCGGGGCUCAACCCCGGAACUGCCCUUGAAACUGGAGAGCUAGAAUCUUGGAGAGGCGAGUGGAAUUCCGAGUGUAGAGGUGAAAUUCGUAGAUAUUAGGAAGAACACCAGUGGCGAAGGCGGCUCACUGGUCCGGUACUGACGCUGAGGUGCGAAAGCGUGGGGAGCAAACAGG